UACGUAGGGUGCAAGCGUUAAUCGGAAUUACUGGGCGUAAAGGGCUCGUAGGCGGCCAACUAAGUCGGAUGUGAAAUCCCCAGGCUCAACCUGGGAACUGCAUCCGAUACUGGAUGGCUUGAAUCCGGGAGAGGGAUGCAGAAUUCCAGGUGUAGCGGUGAAAUUCGUAGAUAUUCGCAAGAACACCAGUGGCGAAGGCGGCUCACUGGACCGGUUCUGACGCUGAUGCGCGAAAGCGUGGGGAGCAAACGGG
rnacentral:rRNA from 1 species